rnacentral:RNase_MRP_RNA from 13 species
ACACGCUUCGGAGCACACACACGGAGUCGCUCUUGCGCUCGAUCUUCUGCUCUGAGGAAAGUCCCCGGGCAUGUCGGCAGAGAGUGCCAGCCUUGAAGGCAAGGUCGCCGCGGCUGCGUGCGCACGGAGAGGGCCUCGGCCUGAGUUUGCUCGCGCUGCGGCUCCGGCCUCAGGCUACAGUUAUGCGUGUCGGGUUGCCCUCCUCUGUGGCGCCUUGAACAGAACGGGGCUUACUCUGGCG